ACGCCAUAUUGCUGGUGUGGGAGAGUCACAGAGGGAAGCGCCGCCGCUGCUGCCGCCGCCAUCGCUUUUCAUCGGCGGCCCCUAGCCGGCGAGCCGAGCCCAGCUCCGCACCUACCGUCCCAGCAACCGCCCCGGGAACGGCCGGGGGCGGAAUUCGCGAGGGCGGGGCGGGCGGAGAGCGAAUCCGUCGGCGAAGGAGCCGCCGGGGGGGCCGGAGCCGCUCCCUGGAGAGGGCGAUAGGGAGGAGGCGGAGGCCCUGACGCAGCUCCCCCCCCACCAUCCGCCCCAGACGGUGGGGAAGGCGCCUCUGGGCUGGGCCGGCUGCUGCCGUCUCCCCCUCCCCUCUCACCGAGCCCCCUUACCCCGCUCUCCCCGGCUCGCCGCAGCCCCCGGCCCGCUCCCCCCCGGCCAUGGCUUGCGGCGCCACAUUGAAAAGGACUCUGGAUUUCGACCCUCUGCUGAGCCCGGCCUCCCCGAAGCGGAGGCGAUGUGCGCCAUUGUCAGCCCCGGCCUCCUCGGCCGCCGCCGCCUCGUCCUUCGCCGCCGCCUCGCCGCAGAAAUACCUGCGCAUGGAGCCCUCGCCCUUCGGGGAGGUGUCCUCCCGCCUCACCACAGAACAAAUUCUGUACAACAUAAAACAGGAGUACAAACGCAUGCAGAAGAGGAGACAUUUAGAAAAUAGCUUCCAGCAGACAGAUCCAUGUUGUUCUACUGAUGCACAGCCACAUGCAUUUCUCCUUACUGGACCAGCUUUGCCAGGUACUUCAUCUGCAGCAUCAUCACCAUUGAAAAAAGAACAGCCCCUGUUUACUCUCAGACAAGUUGGAAUGAUCUGUGAACGUUUGCUGAAAGAACGUGAAGAGAAAAUCCGUGAAGAGUAUGAAGAAAUUUUGACCACAAAACUUGCAGGAGGAUGGGACUUUCAUGGGGGGGACCCUCAGACUGGGACUCUUCUGUGGAAACCAAGAACUACUACUACAUUUUUGGUUGAAGAUUGCUUUCUUUAACCUUGCCUCUUCUAAGAACAGUGCAGAGCACUUAAAAGUAAUAACCCAACACACCUCACAUGCGGUUUUCCACAAGGGAGGAAGGGGAAUGGAGAGGAGCUGCAUCUGAUAGAUCUUCUUCUUUAAUUUCCUAAUUCUGAACAUUAAUACCAUGUUGAUGGGUGCAAUAUUAGAAACUGAAGAGAAUAUGAAAAAAUGUGUUCUUAUGUAUGUGAUGUAUAGAGAUUCCUUCUGGAAAGGACUAAUUUUGAGUUCAGAGUGAACUGAAUAUUCUUUAUAGCAUCAUCUUAAUCUUAGUAUUUAGUUUGAGGAGAUUACUCAAUAGCUGAUUUUACUAAACCCCCAGUCACCUGUUCCCUAUUGUGACUAUUUUUGCUGUUGAAAUAAAGCAAAUAUUUUUCACUUAGCUUUUUAUCCCGUAGUUAGCGGUUUCUUGCUUGUUCAACAUUUUGGCAAUCAGUGACAUAAUUGAUUGUAAUAAAUCGCUCUUCUAUACUGCUGUGCUGUCAUUUCCCAGACCUUUAAAUUCUGCCUUUUUGUAACCAUGUUCAGUGGUUAGAGGGCGGGAGUUGGGUUCUACUUCCAGCCCUGCCACUCACUGACUUUGCUCAGUUAACCACUCUGGGCCUUCAUUAUGCAUCUGUAAAAUUGGGAUAAUGUGAGAAUUUAAGUGCGUUUAAAGUGCUUUGAGAUCCUCUCUCUCUAAGUGCAGAAUAUUCCUUUGCCAAAUUCCUCUGUUUUAUUCUGUGCUGUAGUUCGCUUGUCAAGGGAAAUCCAAUUGAUUGCUAACAUGGUUUAAUGGGGUGGAUUUUUUUUAGGGAGCAGAGAUGAGAUGGCUGUGUUGAAUAAUCCAUACUUGCCCCUUACAGACUGUCAACAUUUGUUUAAUUGAUAUAGCUUGCAUGGCAUAAGAAGUAAGCCUUGACCUUUUUUUCAUGCUAAGUUAAACUUGGUACACUCACUUCUAAUGUUAAUGUUUGCAGAACAAUACGACGCAUUUGUGAAGUUCACGCAUGAUCAGAUCAUGCGACGAUAUGGAGAACAGCCUGCUAGUUAUGUUUCAUGAAUCAUGUUUUCUGCAUAUGUGGGCUGCCCUAUACACCCUACUUGUUGCAAGCUGUCCCAGUAAAAGACUUGCAGCAAUGCCAUAUUUCCCCCCUUCCCCCACCCUCCCUACCCCCGUGAACACAGGUUAUUUCAAGCUUUUGUCAGUGGCAACCACUCUUAUGCAGCAACUGGUUUUGGAGUGCUCCCUGAUGUCAGUACCACCUGGAUGUGGACCUUUGCUACCUGUAAUAAUACCAGUGGCCUCAUUUGCUGUAUCAUUACAAUUUGGCUUCUUAUGUUAAUAAGUUUGAAAAAGUAAAGGAUUAAAGCUGGUGUUCUAGAACUUGCCCUUCACUGGUUGUGUAAAUAAAAAUGUAGAAUGACACUUCUGACUGAAGUUAGUGUGGUUUUCAUAACUGUGCACUACAACAAAACUGUAAUCACAGUUAAAUUAGAAUGUAACCCCAGGACAAUUUUAAGCAACUAGCCCACAGUACUGCCUGUGAAAUAGUAAAGGAGGGCAUUUCUGUAUUCCAUGACUUUUUUGGGGGUUAAGAAUGGGUUUAUAUGAUUUCUCAUUUUUGUAGUUUUUAUUUAUUCUAUCAGUCUUUAACAAAUGUUUAUUGCUGCAAUUUUUCAGUGUAUCAUUGUUUUACUGCCCUUGUAGUACUGGAAUUUAGUUGGAAGAAUAAAACAUUUACUUCUAAUCUGUUCGUUUUUAAUAUGCAGGUGGCACUGCUGCUGUG